rnacentral:rRNA from 1 species
UUCCGGUUGAUCCUGCCGGAGGCGACCGCUUUGGAAGUUCGAUUAAGCCAUGCGAGUCGUGAGUCUUAGGGACUCGGCAUACUGCUCAGUAACACGUGGAUAACCUGCCCUAUCGUCUGGAAUAACCUCGGGAAACUGAGAAUAAGGCCGGAUAGUUCACAAUGCCUGGAACGGUUUGUGAAUCAAGGUAGGAUGGGUCUGCGGCGUAUCAGGUUGUAGGGGGUGUAAAGGACCCCCUAGCCUUCGACGCGUACGGGUGUUGGGAGACAUAGCCCGGAGAUGGAUUCUGAGACACGAAUCCAGACCCUACGGGGUGCAGCAGGCGCGAAAACUUCACACUGCAGGAAACUGUGAUGAGGGAACUCCUAGUGCAUGCACUAUGUGUAUGUAGAUCCUACUCUUAACAAGUAGAGGGAAAGGGCUGGGAAAGACCGGUGCCAGCCGCCGCGGUAAUACCGGCAGCUCAAGUGGUCGUCGCUUUUAUUGGGCCUAAAACGUCCAUAGCCUGUUUGGUAAAUCUGUGGGUAAAUCAAUCCGCUCAACGGAUUGAAUUCUGCAGAGACUGCCAGACUAGGGACCGGGAGAGGUGUGGGGUACUCGAGGGGUAGGGGUAAAAUCCUGUCAUCCUUCGAGGACCACCAGUUGCGAAGGCGCCACACUGGAACGGAUCCGACGGUCAGGGACGAAGCCUAGGGGCACGAACCGGAUUAGAUACCCGGGUAGUCCUAGGUGUAAACGCUGUGAACUUGGUGUCGGGGGUCCGCAAGGGGUCCCCGGUGCCGGAGUGAAGAUGUUAAGUUCACUGCCUGGGAGUACGGUCGCAAGGCUGAAACUUAAAGGAAUUGGCGGGGCAGCAC